rnacentral:rRNA from 1 species
CCUACGGGAGGCAGCAGUGAGGAAUAUUGGUCAAUGGGAGAGAUCCUGAACCAGCCAAGCCGCGUGAAGGAAGACGGCCCUAUGGGUUGUAAACCUCUUUUGUCGGAGAACAAAACCAGGGACGUGUCCCUGACUGCGUGUAUCCGAAGAAAAAGCAUCGGCUAACUCCGUGCCAGCAGCCGCGGUAAUACGGAGGAUGCGAGCGUUAUCCGGAUUUAUUGGGUUUAAAGGGUGCGUAGGCGGUCCGUUAAGUCAGCGGGAAAAUGCCGUGGCUAAACCCCGUCGAGCCGUUGAAACUGGCAGACUUGAGUUGGCGAGAAGUACGCGGAAUGCGCGGUGUAGCGGUGAAAUGCAUAGAUAUCGCGCAGAACUCCGAUUGCGAAGGCAGCGUACCGGCGCCAGACUGACGCUGAGGCACGAAAGCGUGGGGAGCGAACAGGAUUAGAUACCCGAGUAGUC